rnacentral:tRNA from 1 species
GCCGAAAUAGCACAGCUGGUAGUGCAACUGAUUUGUAAUCAGUAGGUCGGGGGUUCGAAUCCCUCUUUCGGCACCA